rnacentral:misc_RNA from 1 species
CCGAGCGUCCCGGCCCCCUAGGGCUGCGGCCUCACCAUCCUUUGCUUAAACUCUCCUUGCAGGGCCCCUCUAGAGGGCCCUUGGACUCGGCCGCUGGGGCAGACCCCCUCCGGGAAACAGGGGGCGCCCCGCCCUCCGCUCCGGCAGCCGGGCCCGAACCCAAACCUUGAAACGUGUCUUUUUCGGCCCAGCCGAACCAAACA